UGGGGAAUUUUGGACAAUGGGGGAAACCCUGAUCCAGCCAUCCCGCGUGUGCGAUGAAGGCCUUCGGGUUGUAAAGCACUUUUGGCAGGAAAGAAACGUCAUGGGUUAAUACCCCGUGAAACUGACGGUACCUGCAGAAUAAGCACCGGCUAACUACGUGCCAGCAGCCGCGGUAUAACGUAGGGUGCAAGCGUUAAUCGGAAUUACUGGGCGUAAAGCGUGCGCAGGCGGUUCGGAAAGAAAGAUGUGAAAUCCCAGAGCUCAACUUUGGAACUGCAUUUUUAACUACCGGGCUAGAGUGUGUCAGAGGGAGGUGGAAUUCCGCGUGUAGCAGUGAAAUGCGUAGAUAUGCGGAGGAACACCGAUGGCGAAGGCAGCCUCCUGGGAUAACACUGACGCUCAUGCACGAAAGCGUGGGGAGCAAACAGG
rnacentral:rRNA from 1 species